GGGCUGAAUGGUCGCUGAGACAGAGAUGGAAGCCAGGACAAGGGAGCCCACCGGGCCCAGAUAGAGACUUCAGAACCCACUCCUGAGAACAGCGGAGCCAGGCGCUUAGAGGAAGACCAAAUGCUGCCAGGACACGGAUUGUCCAGGAUUACAUUCCAGCAUCUUAUUAGAUGGCCUGAUUAGCCAGAGGUUUCCAGGCCGUCUGUCCGCCUCCAGGAGAUGGACUGGGACCUUUAGACAUCGGUGGAGAACAGGAUGCUCUGUCCCUUGCUGUCCAGGGCAGGGAUGGCCUCCAGCCGCAAGAAGUACAGCAGCACCUCGACCUGCCCUCGCGGAGUGGGGAAGAGGAGAGUGGCUCAGAGCGGGGCUCACAGCUGCUGGUGGGGAGGUCUUUGGGGCCCAAGCUCCCAAGUCCACCUCAGGUGCUAGAAACCCCUGCUGGUGUCAUGAACCCCUUACAGUGGGACGGGGGUGGGGUGGGGUCCUGACAAGGCAUGACUUGUUGGGUGAGGGGUGGUUAUUUAUUUUAGAGAUGCACAGGGCCUUGCUCUGUCCCCCAGGCUGGAGUACAGUGGCUCCAUCAUGGAUCACUGCAGCCUCUAACUCCUGGGCUCAAGCAAUCCUCCUGUGUCAGCCUCCCAGAUACCUAGGAUUACAGAUGUGUGCCCCAAUGCCUGCCUAAUUUUUCUUUGUAUUUUUUCUGGAGAUGGGGUUUGCUACAUUGCCCAGACUGGUCUCAAACACCUGGGUUCAGUUGUCCUGCCUCGGCCUCCCAAAGUGCUGGGAUUACAGGCAUGAGCCACCACACUCGAACACUUGGGGUGGUUUUAAGCCCCCAGCAAGGUGCACCAGCAGGACCAGGAGGUGGCCUGGGCACCCCCUAUCACUCCCAUCCAUGCAAACCUAGGCAAGUCCCUGUCUCUGAAUCUCAGCCACCACCACAUACAAUGCAAGUGGGAAGAUGGGCAGGACUGGGGGUGGGGCAGGCAGAGGCCACCUCUGUCAGGCUGGGGUUGCAUGGGCUGGAGGCUGUCUUCCCAUACCUGGGACAUGACCUCCAAGGACCAGCUGUCAGUCAUGGUGAUGGGCUGGCUGGGGUUGGCAGGGAGCUUGCUCUCCUUCUCGGAGGGCCGGAGCAGCGUGGGGCCAAACACCGUGCCAAGGUUGUGCAGGGACAUCUUAUUGACUGCCUCCUUCUCUGCCAUCCUGUAGAGGACCGAAGCAGAGGGUGCUGUUUCAACGCCACCACCAGGAGAGAGGCAGAGGGGCUGUGCCGUGCUAGAGUCCUCAGGGAGGGAGUGACCUCGACCCUGGCUGUGCUGCAAGCUGACUCCAGCCUUGGGGUCAGCAGCACCCGGCAAACAGCAGCAGGAGGAGCCGCUAGAGCAGCUGCUCAUGGGCAGAGCUGCCCUCGGGCAACUCCUGCCACCACCCCCUCCCCAGGGAGCCCAAGGCAGGGGAGGCUCAGCAUGGAAUGAAACAGGGGAGUGAGGGACACAAGGAGGUGGGAAGUGGGAGGGUCCCAGCCCCACCAAGUACGCAGAGAACCCCUCGUUGUCCUGGACACCACAGGGGCACCUGCAGGCUGGGAGACCAGGUCCUCUGUGCAUGGGCCCGGGAGGCAGACCUGCCCUAAGGGUGAUGCACAGGCUACAGGUGCUGCACGCUCCAGCGCCCACUCUAGACAUCAGCCUCCAGGUUGACUAAGGGUCAGGUCAUGUUUGAAACCAUGCUUGGCUGGACCAGGACCCAUGGCAAGAGCACCUGGGCACCAGUGUUUAGCCCUGGUCUGCAGGAAGGAGGACAGCAGACUUUAGGACCCCACAGCACGGCAGUGCUGACCAUUUCACCCACUUGGCCUCCUUGAGAAAUAUGGAUGGGGACCCCUCUGGGGAUGGGCAAGGCCUUCCAGGAUAGGCUCAGUUUUGGUCCCCUGCUUUUUGAGGUUGGGUUAAAAUUCCGACCAUGGCAGAGGAAGCACAGCUCAGGUUCCCACACCUCACUUUUCACAGCCUCUGAGGGCAGCAGUGCACGUGGAGGAGACGUCUCCCAUGAGGCCAAGGCCUCCAGUGCUCACCGAUGCCCUCUGCGAAGUUGGGGUAGAACUCGUCAGUGAAGAGGGGCUCGGGCAGCUCACGGAAAUACAGCUUCAGCGUGCCUGCGAUGGCGUUCACGUCCAUCUCGCUCAUCAUCACCGACACGUCCUUGUUAUCUGGAAAGAGCACGGAAAUGCAGCGGCCUCCUUGAAGAUCCUGAUAAAUGAAGAAAAGACACAGAGAAGGAUGUGACAUGCCUGGGCCGUGGAGCACUCUGAGAUCUCAUCGCGGACACCACUGCCCACACCUCCAUCCCGUCCUGCGCAGGCCGACACUCACUGACGUUGAAGGCUGCCUUCAGUGCCUGGAUGUCUGCGGCCACCCCAGACAUGCGGUAGAUGCCCACCUCCUCCAUGCCUCGGCGCUCGAUCUCCUCCACGCACUGGCGCACGAUGUAGGGCACCUUGGACCUCUCUCUCCUGCGGGAGGAGGGAAUGUUCUCAGUGUCCUAACAGCCCUGCUUGGGCCAUAACACAGGAGACCUGCUCCCUAUGUGCACACCCGGAGGUGGGGUGAGGACGGUGAUGAAGGUACCCAGGUCUGGGGCUGCACACAGAGCCUUCUGCAUGCCUGUCCUCCCUCUGCAAGCUCUGUCCUCAUUGCAUGUGCUUUCUCAGGAACCUUUCAAGCGGCCAGAACCCCUGCAAAUCACACAUGACCUUUGUGGGAAGGUCAGGAGGCCUGUCUAAGUCAAGUCAGCACGGGAAGGGCAUCUGACAGAUUCCAGGCCUGGGGUGAGCAGCCUGUGCCCCCGGCUGGGAGGUCAGACCCGGUGUUGGUCCUGCCACCCACGUGCUGUGUGAGAGGAGAAUCCGUGACCCCUGCCCUGGGCCUUAACACACAUCCGACGAAUGAAUGAAGGGUUGCCUCAGCACCGGUGCUCCAAGUCCUGCGAUGCUAAGUGCUUUUCUCCUCUGAGUCUUAGCAAUGGACAAUUCCAAUACCUCCACACAGGACACUAGAGUAAGAAUCCUUCACAGUUAGAACGCAGUGCUGUGCGGAGGCCUUAACUUGAGUUCUGUUUUGCACCUGGAUUUACCAGCACAUCAAAGCUGCUUCGCAAGCCCCCUCAUCAGCAGGGCUCAUGUGGGGGAGCUGCUGAUGGAGUCCUCGCUGCUCAUGCCCACAGCCCUCCCAGAGUGCUAUGCGAGUGGCUGCCGUGCAGUUGGGGGUGGGGCGUGGUGUUUAGACACAGAUAGGAGUCCAGGGUAUGACUGAUGGAGGCCCCGGCCCACGUGACCAGCAAGGUCAGAGGCCCAGCCAGAUUCCAUCCUGAGGAAGCAAAUGAAUUCUCAGAGGAAGUGGUCUGUGUCUGCAUGAACUGCUCUCAAACCAACAAAUAGGCUUCUCUUGGCAACUGACUCGUGACAAAGGGUUCAAGAUUGUUUGAAAAAAAAAAAGGGGGGGGGGGGACAGGGAGGCAGUAGGUCCUGGAAAAGUAAAUUCUUUAUUUUACAAUAAGAAAGUGAUUACAUAUUUUAUUUUUUUUUACAAUGGUGGAAAAUUAGAAGUGAUUGUGAAAAUGAUGUCUACCCGCCUUGCUGAUGAGUAGGAUGUGAUUUGGCUCUUUAGGAAACUGAAUUUGCAGAACUUAAGAAUAUUGAUUUAUAAAGGGCAUGGCCAUUGACCCAGUCCAUCUUAUGCAAAUCUGGAUGCCAUAAAUAAUAUUUAAAAAUGAAAGUAUUGGGGUGGAGGUUGCAGUGAGCGGAGAUCGCCCCACUACACUCCAGCCUGGUCAACAG
rnacentral:lncRNA from 1 species